GUUCCAGGAGCACGGUGGUUGUGCGUCGGAUUGCAAUACGAUGGUUACAUCGCAUAACAUCCGCAGGUCAUGUGUUCGACUCACAUCUGGAACU